GCCGGGCACCGCAGUAUGACCAUAUUUCCAACGUCGAGGUAAGGUUUUCCGAAUACAAGAUUAUGCCAAAAUAUUUCCUAUUUCACCUAGGUUGCAUGCGUCGCAUAACAACUCGCACAUAACAUUCCGAGUCGAUCUCCCAGGAUUACGACGUGCCGGUGUCUUUCGUUGCAUUGUUUAUGUAAUGAUUCAAAUAAAAUAUCUGUACAGAUUAUGGGGUAUCCUGCCAAAGCAGAAGGUUGGACGAUAUCGCCCACUAUUACGGAUUUUGAUAGAAGUACUUUUUACAGCUAGUCCUGGAUUGUGAUGAUAAACAGCGGCACAAACGCACUACAUGCACCAGCGUAUCUUCACGUCCUUCUGUCGCGCUCACCGACACGUACCUCUGGACGGCAUGCGGAUGGGCGACGGUCCUCUUGUUAAUUAUAGGACUGCAGCUGGACAUUGGCGGUUUUCAGUCCAGAGAAUGCACCAUUCUCGACAUGUUAUGGGGUUUCUGAAGGAUUGUUCUGUUUUUGCUAAGCUUAUGCAAUCAAUUCUCUGAAUCCGCAUACGACCUAAGUGAGCUCAUAGAUGCUAUAGAUGACCGCGACUACUUUCGUAUACUAAAACGGCCUCAAUCAAUUUUCUAUAUGGCUCCGUGAAAAGGUAUCGAUAUCGCCGCAUCGCAUCGCGGUAUACAAGAACAGUCAUGCUGCCUUUGCGGAGGAAGGUGCACAGCAUGUGCUUGCAGAUAGCCCCGUACGAAUGGGCAUGAGUCAAUAUGUCCCUUUACACUUAGGUAUGUCUUACCGAUGUACUUUGCCUUUUGGACGUGCAUGUGUCUCACGCCCACGUACCCACAGGCCGUCCGCGCCCCCCAACCAAGCACCAUCUUUCCCUCAGCACCAACCCCUCACGCUUGCCAGGGAGCUCACGCUAGCACAAAGUCCCAAUACUGUGGAUCGAAAGCAUCAUCUGUGCUUCAUCCUCCUGCAUGUCUCCCUGUUUCCCAGCAGGCCGUAUCGGCCGAAGCCGGAAAGGGCUAUAACUUAAUACUACCAACUC
rnacentral:lncRNA from 1 species